UACGUAGGUGGCAAGCGUUGUUCGGAAUUAUUGGGCGUAAAGGGCGCGUAGGCGGUUUGUUAAGUCGGCUGUGAAAGCCCGGGGCUCAACCCCGGAGGGUCAGCCGAUACUGGCAGGCUAGAGUACGGAAUAGGUAGCUGGAAUUCCCGGUGUAGCGGUGAAAUGCGUAGAUAUCGGGAAGAACACCCGUGGCUAAGGCGGUUCUCUAGUACGGUACUGACGCUGAGACGCGAAAGCGUGGGGAGCGAACAGG
rnacentral:rRNA from 1 species